rnacentral:lncRNA from 1 species
UGUGUCUACCUUUUUCACUAUUAAUAAAGCUGCUGUAAGGCUCCUCUUUCGGGUUCUGGUGUGGAUCUAGGUUUUCAUUUCACUGUGUACAUACUUAGGAGUGAGCCUCACUCUUAGUUAUAUGACUGCUGCGUCACAUAAUCAGUGGGAGUUUGGUUUUAUAAAAAAGCCACCAGGCUAUUUUCCAAACUGAUCCUGCUCACUUGCAAUCCUACCAGCAGUAUAUAUAAGAUUUCCAGUUUCUUUGCACACUUGCCAGAACUUGACAUUGCCAUUUAAGAAUGUUUUAGCUAUUUUAAUAGGUGUGGGGUGAUACCUCCUUAUUACUUCCGUCUGCGUUUUAGUUUGCAUGACGUUGAACAUAUUUUCAUCAAACCGAUGGGUUUUUAACUCUACCACAACUACAAGAAACUGUCCCACGGCAGCGCUGGUUUUCCACCUGAAAUAAUUUCACACCCAGGAGAACAUACAGUGAGCUCUGGAGACCCUUUUCCAGAGUCACAAUUGCAGGGGACAGGGUGGGGCACCAGCAUCUAGUGAGCAGAGGCCGGGGGUACUGCUGACCAUCCUACAGUGCAUGAGUUAGCCCCACAACAGAUUCCAUGCCAAAAUGUCAAUGCUGUCAGGGCUGAAAGGCUGCUAGAAAAAUUCAAGGUACAGGCCACCCUGAAGAUUAUGGGAGCUCUGCUAUACCACAUUUAUUCUAAAUAAAAACAGACCUAGAAAGCAAUUUCCCCAGUUGCUGUUAAAUCUAGUUUUGACCUUCAGUGUGCACGCAGGUUCAUAGAUUCAUAGCCCCCGGCUUGUCACUUGCCAAGAUAAGCUGUCUCAGGUUUAGAUCCAUGCAAUUGCUAACAUAGGUUUUUGGCCCUCCACUUGCAUGAAUAAAUGUCAAUUCACUGAGGUUUUCCUUUGCAACUGAGGUCAUUUUAAUGAUGAGCAUUUGUGUUAUCAAACUGUAGCCCAAAGUAAAUUAUGUUUGCCUCAUAAAUCCUUGACAUUGUUUAUAAUUUGUUACCCAAGAGGCAACUCUCUUACCCUCUCUGCAUCUCAGUCCUUGACUGUGAAAUAGGAGAUGAAGCCAGUGACACUGAUGGCUGAAGCUACUGGGGAUCUCAGGGACUCUGCUUCCCACAGAGACCCCUGGGUGCCACGCUGCUGUCCAACGACACAGUGAAGUCAUUCAUGAGUCACUGGUUGGCACCAAAUGUAUAUAUUUAUUUGGGAACCCUUGCCUCCAAACUCCCAGAAAAAAAAGUUUUAAUAAACAAUUAACAGACAAACAAGACCACAAGAUUUACCUAGGAGGAAUUUGGCUUUCUUUGAAGACUUCUUAUAAGUUCCAUUUUUCAAUAUAGGUGUUUGCAUGAGUUCAGAAGUGAAGCCAUCUCCAGACCAUGUGUAUGACCCCAGAAGCUGAUCUUCAGAAGAGAUGUAGAAAGAGUCGGGAGGCAGAAAGACGGAGGACCACCUACUUGCUAGGACCAAAUACUGCUCUGAAAUUUUUUCCUCAUUUUUCUUACCAUUAAUGCAAAGUAGGAUCUAUAUUCAGUGACUCCGUACCGAAAGUCUACUCCCUUUCUAGCACUGUGCAAGAGGCAGUGAUAGACACCCAAGAUUAGGAGAUGGCACCUUUCCUUCUGGAGUGAAAGGAGGAAGGAUUAGAUAAUCAUCCUCAAAGCAUCCGACUGUUAACUGACAAUUUACCAAGGCUGGAUUAUCAGCCAACCCCUUGCAGGAUCAUGUGUUUCCAGCUGACAAGUGCACUUAGUAGGCCCUGAGUAAAUAUUUUGUUGAUGAACCUACAGAAUAUAAACAGUGCUUCUCAGACUCUCUGUGAUGAAGGACCUUUUUCAAAACCCCUAAUCCACUGGAGACUAACUCCCCAGUAAAACACAAUAGAAAUGUUCUUGGAUGUCACAAGAAUGCCAAAUUGUUACGCAAGUUUUUACAUGCUUUCUCUCAAUUUCUGUGGUUUUGUCAUUGUUGACUAAUAAUAAAAUACCCCACAGGCAGGUCACAGACCACACUUGGGCAAUGAGGAGGAAGAGGGCACUGUGUGCCUCAAGUGAUCAAGGAUGUGUAAACCCACAGUUCACCCAGUCCACCCACUAAGCCUCGGGGUGGAUGCAAUUUAGAAACCAAAACAAUCUGACUCCCUGUCCUCAAACCCCAACCAGAUGUGACUCUGCCUCCCCAGUCUUCUUCCUCCCAAGCUUGGUUUCUAUUCAGCCCUUGGGGUGAGGGCGGGGCAUGGAGGCGUGGGUGGCAGUAAAGGAGGAAAGCAGAAAGAAAAGAGGCAGGUGAGGAAGGGGGGUGGCCAAGAUCCACUGAACUGACAAAGGCCCCGCCUCCCCACCCCCUCUCCCCUUGGUUCAGGCCACCUUGCUCUGCUCACACCUCCGUGAGCUGAGAUGUUUAGGCCUCAGGUUCUCACGCCUCCCUUGUUAGUCACUGGGUGGUACCUGUCAUAUAGCAUCACAGUCAGGCCAUUCAGGAGAGAUUCCAGUGACCUCCAGCCUAAUGGUUCUCUAAUUAGUGUUUCUAGCUCACUGAAGCAUUCGGUUUCUGGUGAUCAAAGGCUCCUCCCCUCCCCUCCCUCUUGGCCUUGGCUCCUAGCAGCCCCAUAAGGUAGCCAGAUGUGAUGUUCUUUCUCUUGCUCUGUUUGUAGCCAACUGCAAACCAAUGACCUAGAGAGCACUCACCACCACACCCUGGGCAUGAAGCUCUCUGUGGAAAGCAUUUUAUUUUAAGAAACAGCAAACUGCCCUGGUAAGAACUCAUCUAAGACAGAGUUUGAAACUUUAUCACAGGACAGAGUGCCCGCUGAAAGAAAACAGGAGAAAGGGGUCAGUAUUCUCAUCUUUACGGCCCGCCUGACUUGCUGAGAAAAUAAAAAAUGACAUGUGGAAGUUCCUCUGCAGAUCUCAACAUUUGUAAGUGGUGUUGAAUAUUUUUUGCAGGACUUGAAAACAGAAAUUCUCUGCUAAGUGAGUAGUUAUUUCAACUGUUCUCAUAAAAGAACACAAAGAAAAAAUAUUCGCCAGACUUAGGUCCCUGAUAUAGUGUUUUCAGUGACUGUAAUUAGCACCGUAUUUAAAAAAAAAAAAACAAUUCCUUCAAGAAGACAGGAAAUGAGUUUGCCCCAGAAACGAGGUUGCCCUGUAGAGGCACCAAACUUUGCGGUUUCUGACACUUCAACAUAAAACUCUGAGUAAAUAAUAUUAAAGUUGAAUGACAUCAUUCUGAGAAAGAGUUACUAGAAUUGCCUCUCGACCAUUCUUUCCCCUUCGCUCUCUUCUGACUUCCAUCCACCCUGCAUUUUAAGUUAACCUUCCUAAACUAUCUAACCCUCUUUUGAGCAUACCCCAUUGCUACAGACCAUCUUUUCUCCAUGCCAGUUCCCAAUUGGGCUCCCUCCUGUGCCUCACCUUCCCCAGACCUCCCCAGGCCUGAUCCACCACUACUCCACGAAGCCCAGCCCAAGGUCUCCAGAGCUCGUCUCCAGGUGCCUGUGCACUCACUGCCUGUGCUCCGUGCUUUGGCACACCUUUGGGUUCCUUGUUUCUUGAGUGUCUUCUUCUUGAUUAGCAUCACACGUUCAUGGGAAAUGAGUUAGAAGGUAUGUAGCAGUCGUCCAGAUCCACCCUGACGUUCCCGUGAUUGUCUUGUACCACAGAGCUGCCUUGCUCUCCCAGGACACCACCCAAAAGGAGAAAAUUAAUACAGGGCCCCAAACUGCCCAUUUCUAGUUAAACAGCGGCACCGUCAGAUAGCCCUCCCUUAGAUGGAAACAAAAAUAUUCUUCCCACCAAUCUCCACCCAAAUGGGCCCUGUUUUUAUUCCCCUGGCUGAUGCAGAAUAAAUCAAAUCCUUCUUCCCAUAGCGUCUUUUCAGAUUUUUAAGAUAAGUUGUGUGCAUCCUCCCUUCUCUUAGCUCCUUCCAUUUUUCAGGGGUCUUUCUUCCAGUCCAAAUAAUCCCAUUCAUCCCACUCUGCCCAUGAUACGUUUUUAGCAUCUACAUAUGAUGCCCUUAAAUUAUGUCCCAAAAUAUUUGAACACAGUACCAAAACCCUGAACAUCGGACAAUAGUCUGAAGAAGAAUGAACAGGGAGGCCUAACCACCUCCUUUUCUCUAGUAGUACACCUUUACUGAUGUUUCCUCCACCUCCCUAGCUUUCUGGAGGCCAUAUGACACUGAGAAUCAAAGAUGAGAUUGUUAUCGUCAGGCUAUAUAUUCCCUCUUUGGCUUAAUGUGCAGUUAGGUUUUCAUAUUUCUGCAGAAAGUUGCGUUUUUUCUAUUUAUUAAAAUAAUUUCUUAAUGUUUUUUAUUCAACAAGUCAUUAUUGAAAUCCUCAGAGCCCAACAAGAAACAAAGAAAAGUCAGACCCUGGUCUUUGAUCAGAAAGUUUUAAUAAUAGGUGUCUUCCAUCCAGACUUUGAUGCCAGUAGAGACAUUAACGUGCUUUUAACGACUAUCAGGAACAGUUCUAUGGAAGUUCAGAGAAAAAGACACUGCUUAGAUCCCAGGAAAGAGAAGAGAGAGGCCUCCUGGAGAAGAGGCAGGAUUUAAUAAAAAGAGAGGAACUUCUCCCGGGCUGGAACAGGAUGGAUAGAGAUCCAGAGGCCAGACACCAGACGAUAAAACUUCAGAGGGAUUAAGGCAGAAAUCGGGCGUUUCCCUGACACCUCGGAUUGCAACCCAGUCUCACCAGGUCCUCCCUGCUGCCCUCCCUCCUGCACAUGUGCAUCCCUCCUUCCCAGCUGAGGAGGCUCCAGCUUCCGAAAUGUGAUCCCAUUGACUCAUGUGCAGUUCUGGGAUGGCUAUUGCCACCUUCGUGUUGCACGAAACAAACUUACCAGAAGGAGGUCAAGGCUUGACUGCACCCUCCUUCUUUCCUCCCUCCCUCCCUCCCUCCCCCCCCAACUCUAUUCAUCAUGGUUGUCAUUCCUUUGAAAUGCUGUUGGAUCCCUGUGUUUCUGUUUGUAUUCAGAGCGAGUUCCUUCUCCUUACCGUUUGUUCUUGACUUAACUUUAUUUCCCCAAAUUCUUAGUACACUCAUGUGCUUGGCCAGAGACUUUAUUUUGUGCCUCUUUGCUAGCCUAUCAAAGGCAGUAGUCAUUUUUUUUGUUUGUUUGUUUUUGACUGACUAAUUAUCAAGGAUAGCUGGGAAGUGAGUUUAACAGAGAUUACCCAGGGGAUUUAUUUUACAUCAAGGUCCUACAAGGUCAUGCCUCUGAUACCCAUUCAUGACAAAUCUGAUAUGUCCCCAAAGCCUCAAGCCAUCCAAAGGCAUAAACCCAGGUGGCAGCUCUAGGAUGCCCCAAAGGACAGGGACUCCAUGUGGGUGUCCAUCAGCAGCACCCUGAAUGAGAAGCCUUGGUGUAGUAGCAGUAGUUGAAUUUUUAGAAACAGCCCCGGCAAAAUAAACUAUCUCAGGUAAUUGCUGCUCCUUCCUCUCUGAGAAAGACUGCAGGAAGGAAGAAAAGACUCACCUUCCUUAGAGGUCUAGACAACUCUGUGCACACAGGGCACUUCUGAGGUACAGACAGGGCAACUAUUUCUGUGAAACCUCUCAACUGAAAUGCAGCCAGGGUGGCCUCUCCAUGGCGGAGAGAUAAGAAAGAUAUGCGUCAUUAAACAAAUCAUUCUAAGAAAAAGGGCUCUGGUUAAUACACAGUCUAUUUGCUUCACUUCUUAAUUAUAUUUAUCAGUCAUAAUAAUCAUUAACAAAUUAUUUACAUAAUUGGCUAUAACUUGCAAACCCCAGGCCAAAAUACAAACUACUUUUUUUUUUUGAGCAUUAACAAAAGACAGUACCUCGAAAUUACAAAGUUUUGUUUUUCCCUAGAAAUUCAGAUAGAGUUCCAUGUGUUUAGCAUGGCUUUCCUCCUUUCCUCUCCAUGGGAAGAGAAGAAAACGUUGCAUGUUCAUUGGUGGCAUCUCGGAAUGUACUCUGCCAAUGCCUUGUGCGAGAUCUAUCUGGUGGCUUUUCCUGCUGGGGAGGAACAGGGACUUCUGAGAAGUGAACACUCUGAUAGAGCAGCUGAUACACGUUCCUCCCUGAGCCCUCAAACCAUCUCACUGGGGAAGGAACUGCAGGUGGGGAACUGGUGAACUCCUCUCCUUUGUUGAGAAAUACCUUGUUGACCUCCUGAUGCAAUUCCAGAACAAUGGAUCUCAUCAGUAUCAUCCAUGGUCACCUAAACCUGGUAGUCUAGGUAGUCUAGACUUCCAAUCCACAGAUAGAGUCCCAGGGAGAUUAAAUGCCUAUCUCCAAACAGCAUAAGGUCCAGAUCCAACUAUUCCGUACUUUUCUUAAUUCUCCGGUUCUGCACCUCCUUAUAUAAGGGCCAUAGAGGACUCAUUUAUUGAUCACAUAUAAUGUGCAGCAAAUGCAUCAAGAAGCAUUUGACAUGGUAUAUCAGUUAUAUAUCGCCAUAUAAUAAACCGUACAGAGAUGUAGUGAUUUCAAAUGAUUUAAGUCACGGAUCUGCUCAGGACUCUGAGGGUCAGCAAGCUGCUAGUGGUUCCUCUCCAGAUUGUGCCUGGAGCAACUCAUGCAGCUUAAGUCACCUCACUGACAGUUCAGUGGGGACUGGGGUCCCAACAGCCUCACACACAUCCAGAGGUUGGUGCUGUCAUGUUUCUUCACCCGUGGAGGCCACAUUCUAAAAGGGUGAGCCCCAGUACACAAGCACUUUCCAAGCUGCUUCUUAUGUUAUGUUUUCUGGCAUCCCACUGGCCAAACCCAGAGUCAUCAUGGGGGGCUGUUGCCAUGGUGGAGAUGGAAUUCCCUGGGGACCACUGUGAUAAUCUACCACCCAAAUUCUGGUAAAGAGAAACACAUGUGCUAAAAUCAAAACCAGAGCACAAGACUUGCUCAGCCUUCUCAAGGCUCAAGGCCAGGACUCUGUCCCGCCCGAUGUCCUCUCUGUCCUCACCAGUCCAGUGCCACUCCUGGGUUGAUGUGCUGUUCACACCAAGCUUCAGUCAACUCGGGCAUCCUUGAGAUGCUGAGACCUCCUCUCCUAUACCCUGAGCCUCGCACCCCAUUUGUUUUUGGUCAGUAAUCUUCAUUUGUCCAUUUUAUUUUAUUUUUUCUAAAUAACUUAAAAUACAGUAAAAUAAAACAAAUACCCAGUAAAAGAUAUAAAUACUAUGUAGAAUAAAUAAUCAAAAAUAAAAGUUCUGCAACGGCAUCUUCAUAAUCCACUCUUCUAGUGGUUUCUUCUGAAGAUGUUCCAGCGUUAUCUGAGGUCUCAAGUCCUUCCCAUAUCCCACAGGGGACUUCAAAGGUACAAGAAUUCUUUGGGUCUGCAUAAGCAGCAGGGACGGAGUGGGUGACCAGCCUCUGUAAUGUUCUGCAGUCUCCUGCUUCACCCGCCCUGGGAGCCUGUGAGUCGGUCUCUGUUCUCUUUAGCCCUCUUGACAGGGUCACCUCCACACAUGAGCUGCUUCUCCGGAGCUGAGGACCUGGUGGCUGCAAAACUGAGCCAGGCUUGUGCCUAGGUGAAUACUGGCAUGAAGCUACUCAGUGGGUGACUCUGGAGCUGCAGAGGCCAGCAGGGCAUUUAAGGUGUUAUGUGGGGAGUGUCAUGGAGCCCAAGUGUCUGCUACCUGGGGAUAUGUUUUCAUCUCACAGUUCAAUUAGGAAUUAUUUUCCUCACCAUAGAAGGCAAAAUCAACCCAUUCCAUUGACAUGUCUAUAUCCAUAUCCAUUCCAAAGAGCUAGCAGACAUGGGGCAGAGUGCCCGGAUCAGGAACAGGCCAGCACGCCAUACCAGCCUUGGUGUGGGGACAGUACUUAAAGCAGACUGGGAACAAGGGCAUCAGCAGAGACUGGGAAGACCAGCAUGGAACCUGCAAUAGAGGAACACGGUGCAGAAACCCAGGCCAGAGCAAAACCAAUGCCAUUUUCUCAGCCAGCUAUUCAGUGGGUUUUCACCAACUUCCCUGUGCUCAGAGGGUUAAUAUCGUAAUCAUUGACAGCAGAUGAAAUGCAUAUGCACAAUAUAAAUAAUUCUUCAACAAAUGGCAGUAAACUACAAUUGUCACAUUAGAAAAAUGGUUUCAGUAAUUCUUAGCAGAUCUUCUCACUGUCUUCCUAAAGUCCCAGGUUGGAGAACCCUGUACCAUCAAUGGAGGACAGGUGUGACAGCUGCCCUCUGUUCAGUUUUUCCGGAAUGAGGCUUAUUUCCUUGUGUUCUUGGGACAAAGUGCAUUUACUUUCUGGUAAGUAUGAAUUUACCCUUUCUAGGAAGGUUCUCAUCCUGCCUCCUUAAAAAAACAAACAAACAAACAAACAAAAAAUCUAUAGUAGUUCAGAACAUCUUUUCCCAACCUUUUUGCUCCCAUUUUACCCUCUAUUCCUCAAUUUCUUUUUGAAAUUAUAUUUUUUGUUGUUAAGUUUUUAUAUUUGUAUAUUUUCCUCUGGGUUCUGGGAGAAUUUCUGGAACUCCCUCCUGCUUUGCUGAUUGAUUGACGUUUCAGCAGUGUCUUGAGCCCCCACUGGGGUCUGCAGCUUGGCCAUCUCAGUUUCCUCUCCUCGCUGUCUUUCCUGCUCUUGGAUGUGUCUGCUUCCCUGGCUGCCGAUUCCUCUGGGAUCUUACUGAGAACACAAAUUAGAACUUUGCCCCGAGUCUACUUCCUGGGCAGCUAUUUGCUUCAUUCCUUGGAGAGGUUUUAUUUUUCCUUAAUUUUAGGUUUGUAUGAUUUUUUCAAAUUCAUUUUUUAGGUUGACUGAUAAAGUUGCCCAUGUCUAUUGUGUACAGUGUGGUGUUUUGAAGUACACGUGCUCAGAGGAGUGGUUCAAUCUGGCUAGUUAACAUGUACCUCGCCUCCCACGGCAUACAAUAUAUAUCAUCAUUAACCAUCGUCACCGUGCCCUACAACAGAGCUCUUAAACGAUUCCUCCUCUCUAACCAUAAUUUCGAAUCCUUUGACCAAUGUGGCCCCCUUUAGAACUGGGAUGCCUCUCAUGGAUGAUGCAUUCUGCCCGAGCUGAGCCUUCCAGAGAGAGAUGGAUGGGUGUUUUUCCUCUGCUGUUAGAAGAUGUCGUCCCAUCAAAAUGAAGGACUACCUGUCUGAUUUUUUUUUUUUUUUUUUUUUUGCAGUAAAGAGAUUCACUCCCCAACUCUGUUGGGUUAGAAGUCAGGGCCUCCACAGAGAGCAAGGUGACGGGGAGUUGGAGGAAGAAAAAAGAAGAAGGCAGCAAGCACACUUUGCCGAUGCAACUGUCCCCCUGACUCUGUCUGGUACAGCUGUCCACCUCGAGUGCUGAAGCUAGAAAUAAUUGCUCCCCACAGAUGCCAGAGUGCUGGCUCUUUGCCCUCCCUUACCUGCCCCUCUCCACUCCGCAUGCACUCACCUGUCUAGCUCUGAUCCUGUAAUUUAGCGGAUGUUGGUAAGGGUCUAUGGUCUGGAUAUAGUUUGAGUGUCUCCCCCAAAGGUUCAUGAGUGGAGCUUGGCCUCCAAGGUGGUGAUGUUGGAAAUGGUAGCACUUUAAGAGGCGGAGCCUAGUGGAAGGUAAUUAGGUCACUGGGGUGCUGCCCUCAGACAAGAUUAGUGUAGUUCUCUUGAGACUUCAGUGCAACAAGACCAAGUUGUUAUAAAAGAGUAAGCCUGACCUCCGAGAAUGCCUCUAGCUUCAUGUCCCACUGUGUAAUCUCCCCUUCCUACGUGCACUCCCACCGUGAUGCCAUUUGCCAUGUUGUGAUACAGCUAGAAAGCCCUCACCAGAGCCAAGCAGAUACUGGUGCAUCCUCUUGAACCUGCAGAACUGUGAACUAAUUAAACCUCUUCUAUUUAUAUAUUAUCCAGCAUCAGCUAUUAUAUUAUAGCAACAGAAAACAAACUAAGAUAGGACUUAAGUCACUUCAAUUCUUUUUUUAGAUAAGGGGUUCCUUUAUGUGUGUGUCUAAUAACUGUAUUUACCAGAAUUCCUCUCAGGGAAUGCAAGAUAUUUGGAAGAGAUCAUUUUAACAAGGUACUUGGUAGAGUGGAUCAACCUUCAAAGCCAUAUCUGAUGACUAAGGGUGACUGCUUAACUUUAGGCCAAGACACAGGAAGAGGAGCUUGCUUUAAUCCUGAGAGGUAAAAGAGCAAGACCGAGAGAGAAAAAGCAGAAAGAAAAGUCAUUGAGAUGGCAGAAAGCCAUGCACUACACCGUGUGGCCAGCUGCUUGUGACCUUCAUGUCUUCAGCUUCUCAGUGUCAAUUCUAUUGAUAUUGGGGUUGGAUAAUUCUUAGGCGGGGGGUGGGGGGGGAGGUUUCCCUCUGUACUAUAGCAUCCCUCCUCUCUCCACCCACCUGAUGCAAUAGCAUUCCUGCUCUAGUUCUGACAGCUAAAAACAUCUCCAGAUAUUGCCAAAUGUCCUCCAGAGGGGUAAAAUUACCACAGUGGAGAACCAUCAAGUUAAGACAACUAAACCCAUCAAGAGCCUGGGAUGAACGAAUUCUUUGUGAAAAGCGUUGAAGGGUUUGCAUUUCUGGCCAGGCUGAUGUGGGGCCAAGCAGAGGCAGCCUGAGGGACAAAGAGGCUGGAGUCAGAAGGGAUCGUGAGAAUAUAAACCCCGGGAAUUUGCAGAAAUGGUGAGCAGGGCUUUGAAGUCUCUCAGGCUGAGAUCCCUCAGGGCAGGGAGUUUGCCUGAGGUCUACAUCACAGAGCCAGACCUGGAUCAGCCCAUCCUUUCCUUUAAUCUGGCCAGGUCUGUGCUAUGCAAAAUAGGAAUUCCUCUGUGCUCCUGGCACUUGGCUGUCUGUCUUCCCUCGUGUCCGGCUCUAAGUCAGACUGUUCCUAUUUUUUUAAGUGGGAAUCUGGGAGGGAGCUCUAGCUCCCCACUCAGGAGGCUCCAUGAACCAAUGUCUCCACACCACCUUGGAGUGUCCUCCUGGAGGCAGGGACACAGCAGCCAUUGAUGUUGGCACAUGAUGAGCAUCUCAGGCAGGGAGGCAGGUGCAGAGUACGACCUCAGGACAUUUCAUUCCAGGUUCAGGAAGCCUAAGAGUUUUGGUGGCUUCUGUCAAGAGAGAUGUAUCCUGAAAACGUCUGGGGCCAGCUUCUGGAUUUGCUUCUGUCUGUGUUUUGGCUGAGGACGGUCAAUGCUGAACUCUUAGGCAUCCAAGGAUCCAAGUUUGUGUCCCACCCGCCUCUGCUCCCUUCUCCCACUUGAAUACGAAGCGUAGUUCAGUCCACAUAGUACCCACUUUUUCUUCAGCAAGCACAGAGAUCUUAGAAUGUUCCAAAAUCACAGCCUUGUUCUCUUCUGCUGGAGUCCUAUUCUCUACCAGACUCCUAAACUCAUCAUGGUUUAAAGAGAUGAGAAUCAAAUCAGCAGCUCCAUGUUGAGAGGCAAGAAUAGAACGAUGAGGAGAGGAAGAUCAUGAUUCCGCCAUUCACUGAGCAACUAUUGCCUACCUUCCAUACCUUAAGGAAUCAAUCUAACAUAAUCCCAUUUUUGAAGACUAAGAAACUGAGGUUUAGAGAAGUAACUUGCCAAUUGUCCCAGUGUUAGUGGCUCAAUGAUCUGACCACAAAACCUUUUUCUCUUCUCAAUACUACAAAAUAACAUAAAAGGGGAAGUAUCUGCUACAAUUUUUGUAGUUUCUGGUCACUGUUAGCACACAUUUAUGGAAGUGUGCUUUUAUAAAUGACCCUCAUUUUCUAAAAUUUAGCCUUCAGAGAGAAUUCUAAAGGUGAUAUUUGAAACCAAAGGUGAUGAACUUUUUGCAGGGCUUAUGAUACACUUUGCCAAAGUUCCUGCUUUUAAGACCUUUGCCACUCCUACGGGUAGAAAUAUGGCAUCUUAAUGUCCCAUUGUGCAUUCUUUAUCUCUAAACAGAACAUUCUUUCAAGCUUGUUGGAUGUCUGCAUUUCUGUUCACGACCCUUUUCUAUUUUUGUGUUGCCCUUUUUCUUAAUAUUUUGUAGGAUUUUCUGAUAAAAUAAGGAUAAUGAUGCUUUGUCAUAGUGUUGAAAUGUUUCUGCCAGCUCACCAUUUGCAUUUUUAUCAUUUAGUGUUUUUUUAGAUACACAAAUCUUGUUCUUUCUCAUAAUAACUUAUGCAAUUGAUGUGGUACUUAGAAAGUGUUUAAUUUUGAGAUUUUCCUCUGCUUUUCAAAAGCUAUGUGCUUUACAUUUAUGCUAAUCCAUCUGUGAUAUAUUUUAAUUUUUCAGAUGUAGCUGUAAUUUCUAUCUUUUACAAAUACCCAAUUUUGUUCCAUAGCUUUUUGAAUUAUUCAAAUCUUCCUCCAUUGGUUCCAUUAUGAUCUAUUAAGUACUUAAACGUUCUUGGGUGUCUUCUAGGUUAACUACUCUACUUAUCCAUUUAUCAAUGCUUAUGCCCAUGGCAUGAUAUUUUCAGUAGCUUUCCAAUCUCCUUGGAUAUUUAGAGUCCCUCCUCCCCCCAUUACCCUUUUCUGAACCUUCCUUAGCUCUGCUGUCCUGUUCAAUGUUCCAAAUGAAAUUUAAAAUUGUGCCAUGGUUUUUAAGAGAAGAAAAAUCCCAUUGAUGGAGGGUGGUUGCGUUGCAGUUCCACAAGCCUUCCAGGGGCUCUAGAGUGUCCUCCCUCCCCUACCUUGUCACCUGAGUAACUCCAACGUCUGGCUUUGUUUGUAGUGCUGGGGGUAGAACCCAGGACCUCAGACAUCCUAGGCAAGAUCUCUACCACCGAGCCACUUCCCUGGCCCUUUUUAUUUGUAUUUUGAGGUAGAGGUGUCUCUAAGUUGCUGAGGCUGGCUUUGAACUUGCAAUCUUCCUGCCCCAAUCUCCCAAGUCACAUUACAGGUGAAUGCCACCAGGCCCAGCCCCAGUCACAGUUAUAAUUGCCUAGUUGUUCACUGUCUAUUCCACAUCACCCUCCCCGUGACUUUACUCCCUCUAAGCCAUGGGCCUCUCAGGAGCACAGGCAGCAUUUCCUCAUCCUCUGCCAAGCAGCCUGACAUACACCAAAGGUGCUGAAGAAGAGGAAAGAUGGUAGAGGGGCCCGGUGGGGGCAGGUGUGCCAGGCCAACCGCAGCCUCCACCUUCAGGCAGCCUUGGCCUCAGGGAGCUUAGUUUGGCUGGACCUCCAGAACUCAGAGCUCCCCAAGGCCCUGUCCGAAUCUCCAGUCCCUCAAAAAGGCUUCCGCCCAAUCUGCCUCCCCCAACCUUCUGCAGAACCAUUGUAACCCAACUCACGCUAAGGGGACAUUAUGAGCUGACUUCUGUCAAGGACCCAAGUUGAAGAUUUGCAGAACUGAAUUCUAAUUUUGACAGCAGAGUGUGAAUAAACAUUACCAUGCUUUAUUGCUCUAAAUCUGUUGCUAAAUUCAUUGCUUCUCCAUGAGUCAGAAGCCCAAUAAACAACUAUAAUGUUCCAAUAACUACUC